CAGAAAAUAGGGGCCAAACGGAAGACCAAAGAAACUAUGAUGUGUUAAUUGGGAGACCCGCCCCCAAUGUUUACGACGAGCUCUCUGGACCUGAGGCUGGCCAUACCCGACAAUACGUCAACGUCGUCUUUACCGGGGAUAAUCCAUACCAGGAUGACAUAGAGGUCACUGAGAACAACAGAUAAUAUCAACGUAUUGUCAUAUUAAGUCGAUGUACUCAAUCUCAACAACCAUGUCAAGAUAUUCUUCAUGUUAAUUUGUAAUAAAGAUAGCAGGAUAAAUUUAGUAUUGUUAUGUUACAACCGUGUAUAAAUAUUCCUCAUCUCAAUUGAUUGGUUUAACUAGAGAGUUAUAAACCAGCCUCCUAGUUAAACAAGAUAGUUACAUGUAUAAACUAGCGUCUUAGUUAAACUAAAUAGUUAUAAACAAGCGUUCUAGUUAAACUCGAGAGUUAUAAACUAACGUCUUAGUUAAACUAGAGAGUUAUAAGCUGGCGUUUUAUUUGAGCUAGAUAGUUAUAAACUAGC